UACGGAAGGCAGCAGUGGGGAAUAUUGCACAAUGGGCGAAAGCCUGAUGCAGCUAUGCCGCGUGUAUGAAGAAGGCCUUAGGGUUGUAAAGUACUUUCAUCGGGGAGGAAAAACAAAACUAAUAAUUUUAUUUCUUGACGUUACCCGAAAAAGAAGCACCGGCUAACUCCGUGCCAGCAGCCGCGGUAAUACGGAGGGUGCUAGCGUUAAUCAGAAUUACUGGGCGUAAAGAGCACGUAGGUGGUUUUUUUAAGUCAGAUGUGAAAUCCCUGGGCUUAACCUAGGAACUGCAUUUUGAAACUGAAAUACUAGAGUAUCGUAGAGGGAGGUAGAAUUCUAGGUGUAGCGGUGAAAUGCGUAGAUAUCUGGAGGAAUACCUGUGGCGAAAGCGACCUCCUAAACGAAUACUGACACUGAGGUGCGAAAGCGUGGGGAGCAAACAGGGAUUAGAUACC
rnacentral:rRNA from 1 species